ACGCAGGCACAACCUUGAAAUAUUCCUGUUUACUUGUUCAUGCAUUUUGUUUUACUAGUGUUUUGGUUCCUCAGAGUGCUGCUGAAGGAGAGUAAAAGAGUCCAUUGCCCCACUGCACCUCUACAGCAAGUGAAGAGGAAGUUGAAGUCGGAGAAGAAACAGUCCUCUUUGGGCAGUGGGCCAACUGUUCCAGGGACCUCCAGUGGGCCUGUGGAGCCUCAGGUUUUCCUAGGAGUUCAACCCCAGAAUGGAUCACCUCUUCUGGGCUCAGGCGUAUCCACAACCCCCCAGAAUCUAGAUGACUCUCUGGACCAGGGUCGCAUCCUCACACCCCCCUCUUUAGGAGUUGUGAAGGAGGAGCUAGCUGAGCUGAGGGGGGAGGAGAGUUGCAGGGCUGAUUUUGGUUUCCCCACCACUGUGUUGACCCCCUACGAUGAUUUGAAGCCUGUCAGCAUGUCAGCCAAUGCCAACACACAUGCUCAGUCAACAACCGCAAACACACACCCUCAGCCGAACACUCACUCCCAGUCUCCUCUGACCGUGCUAGCUGACCAGGCGCUGGUGCAAGUCCACAUCCACAAAGACUACAUUUCCCAGGGGCACCUAGCAGUGAUGCCGGACCUUUCACUCCAGAACGGCCACCCUCCUCCACCACAGAAGAAGAAGAAGAAACGGGUAACCACAUUAUUUAAAGUUGACAGAUGGGUACAAUGCAUUAUAAUGUGUUUGUGA
rnacentral:lncRNA from 1 species